UGAGAAAAAGGAAAGUCUUUGACUUUGGACAAGUACUGCAGAGCAACAACUGAGGCAUCAGUGUGUAAUCAGCAUAAUUUUCCUACUGAAUCCAAAAUGCAACACUGUACCAGCUACUAGGAAGAAAAUUAACUCCAUCUCAGCCAAAACCAGGACAACUGGUCAUCUAGUGUACCUUUGUAUCUCAACCUAGUGUUAAAAAGCUUCAAUAAAUGAGAAUUGACAACCUGCUUUGAUAAGCCAAUAGUAGGGAGAGGUGCUGGAGAAGUGAUUCCCCUGCAGCCCAUUGUGAAGACCAUGGUGAGGCAGGCUGUCCCCCUGCAGCCCACAGGGGUCCACAGUGGAGCAAAUACCCACCAUGGAGCAGAUAUCCCACAGGGGAACUCACAACAGAGCAGGGGAAUACCUGAAGGAGGCUGUGACCCCUUGGGAAGCCCAUGCUGGAACAUGCUCCUAGCAGGACCUGUGGCCUCAUGGAGAGAGGAACCCAUGCUGGAGCAGGUGAGGAUGGGAGUGAUAGAAAGACAUCUGUGGGCAUCUGGUAUCCAGCCAGAUUCAACCCACCUCGGUCAGUAAGAAGACAUUUGGAAGGACCUGAAUCAGUGGAACUGAAUGCAGUGUUUCCAAUUCUUCCUGGCAAGUGAAGGAAUAAAAAAGUAAAGAAUGAAGUCAGGAUCACACUAUGGGAAUACCAUCGUAUUUUUCUAAUUAACUCCAUUCAAGAAAAUAUUAAUUGAAUAUUUUAGAGUUAAGAUAACAAUGCUGUUAAACAGCAACACAAUAUGAUGAAGUCAACAAAGCAUGACUGAUAAUGUAAAGAAAAAUUCAAAUACAUUAUUUUGUCCAUUAGCCUUAUCCUAUUCCCUUUGGAUUUUAUUUUCUGUGCUUUAUUUUUUAACCUCAGAGCUGCAUUCAUGUAUUAUUAAAUCACUAACAACUGUUAUUUAAAAAUCUUGGCUUUCUGAGCCCAGUAAGUAAUCUGGAUGAGCAAUCUACCUCCCUAGGGGAAUUUUCCUAUGCGGAAGCUGGUAUGACCUCCACUCAAACAGUUUGCAUGUAUAAUUAUAUUUCUGAUGGGCUCUAAUUGUAUACAGAAGAUGAAAAUAAUUUGUAGUGAAUUUUGUCUGGAAAUUUGACCCUUUACAUUUUUUUUUCUUUAAUUUUACCUUACCCAUGUUAGUAAGCAAAUAAUGCAUUUUUGUGCCAUGGAUAUUCAAAUUAAUCAAAUAACUAUUAAAUUAUGCACUUGACAUCCU